rnacentral:rRNA from 1 species
AGCGAACGCUGGCGGCAGGCUUAACACAUGCAAGUCGAGCGGGCACUUUCGGGUGUCAGCGGCGGACGGGUGCGUAACGCGUGGGAACGUGCCCUCUGGUUCGGAAUAACUCAGGGAAACUUGAGCUAAUACCGGAUACGCCCUUUUGUGGAAAGGCUUGCUGCCGGAGGAUCGGCCCGCGUCUGAUUAGCUAGUUGGUGAGGUAACGGCUCACCAAGGCGACGAUCAGUAGCUGGUCUGAGAGGAUGAUCAGCCACACUGGGACUGAGACACGGCCCAGACUCCUACGGGAGGCAGCAGUGGGGAAUAUUGGACAAUGGGCGCAAGCCUGAUCCAGCCAUGCCGCGUGAGUGAUGAAGGCCUUAGGGUUGUAAAGCUCUUUUAUCCGGGACGAUAAUGACGGUACCGGAGGAAUAAGCCCCGGCUAACUUCGUG